rnacentral:rRNA from 1 species
AUGAACGCUGGCGGCGUGCCUAAUACAUGCAAGUCGAGCGAACGGACGAGAAGCUUGCUUAUCUGAUGUUAGCGGCGGACGGGUGAGUAACACGUGGAUAACCUACCUAUAAGACUGGGAUAACUUCGGGAAACCGGAGCUAAUACCGGAUAAUAUUUUGAACCGCAUGGUUCAAAAGUGAAAGACGGUCUUGCUGUCACUUAUAGAUGGAUCCGCGCUGCAUUAGCUAGUUGGUAAGGUAACGGCUUACCAAGGCAACGAUGCAUAGCCGACCUGAGAGGGUGAUCGGCCACACUGGAACUGAGACACGGUCCAGACUCCUACGGGAGGCAGCAGUAGGGAAUCUUCCGCAAUGGGCGAAAGCCUGACGGAGCAACGCCGCGUGAGUGAUGAAGGUCUUCGGAUCGUAAAACUCUGUUAUUAGGGAAGAACAUAUGUGUAAGUAACUGUGCACAUCUUGACGGUACCUAAUCAGAAAGCCACGGCUAACUACGUG